rnacentral:lncRNA from 1 species
CCCUUCCACCUAUAAUGUCAUCCUAGGACGAUCCACACUUAACGUGCUCUGAGCAAUUAUGUCGACAUGCCAUCUACUCAUGCACUUUUCGACUAGGAAAGGAACUAGAGAAAUGAGGGGAGAUCAACAAGUGGCCCGAUAAUAUUAUUUAAUCAUAAUCAAAGAAAAGAGGCCAGCUGAAGCUCUCCUCAUCGAUGAUGGACUGGAUUAGAGAGAAGAAGAGAGCCGCAAAGAACCUGCAAAGUAGCUCAUCUCAAUGCCCCUUAACGAUGAGGACCUGACCAAAACUGUCCAGGUC